AAUAAGUCUCCCAUGUCUGUCUUACAGUUUCUCUUUCUCUCAAAAUUUAAAAUCCCCUAAAAUGUGGCAAAGAAGAUGUUGAGACAAAACCAUUCAAUGUAUAUUCAAAUCUCAAAAAUUUCCCAUUCCUUCUAACCCCUGAUCCCAAAUUCUUUGGUUGUUUGUCUUCCCCGUAAUCGAAACCCUAACCCCAAUUCUUUCAAAAAUUCCUCUUUUGUAGAGCAAGAUUUAGGGUUCUUCAAACAUCAAAGGUUUCUUUUUCAGGAAAUUUCCUUAAGUCUCCCACUCUCCACCAACCUUUACAAUUUAAACUCCGCUUCACAAAUUCGAUGGCGUUAAUAAAGAGGUUCAUGGAGGACAAUCAGAGCUUGUGGCAGAUAUUAAGGAGGCAUUGAUGGAUUUUCUAAAUGAAGCUUAUGAUAGGGCAAAGGAGGCUUAGAUUUGGGUUGAUAAAUUGGAAGAGAAGUUGGGGGAAAUUAACCAAAAAAUGAAGGUUUCAAGCGCCAUUAUGAGAACAAAGGGGAUUGAUAAUUUGGGAAGUUGUAAGCCAAAGGACUAAGUCAAUUGGGUGGGAACAUGUGGCUCCCAUGUUGAUAGGUUCAGUUGUUACAUUCUUACAAUAUCAAAAUGCACUUUCAAAGGACUUACAGGGUAUCAAAUAUUCCUAUCCACAUGCCAACAAACUAUUUUAGGAUUCUACUUAAAUACUUUGUGUAAGAAAAUUUGGAACUAAUGUGUAGACAUUAUACAAAGAAUUGUAAUUUUACUUCAUAAUUGUUUUGAUGAUCAAUAUUUGCUGUAAAUUUUGUAAAAUUUGCAUGAUUUAUACUUUAUAGCUUGCUGUAAAAUUUGCAAAAUUUGCACCUUUUUGUUGCA